rnacentral:rRNA from 1 species
UGGGGAAUUUUGGACAAUGGGCGAAAGCCUGAUCCAGCAAUGCCGCGUGUGUGAAGAAGGCCUUCGGGUUGUAAAGCACUUUUGUCCGGAAAGAAAUCCUUGGCUCUAAUACAGUCGGGGGAUGACGGUACCGGAAGAAUAAGCACCGGCUAACUACGUGCCAGCAGCCGCGGUAAUACGUAGGGUGCAAGCGUUAAUCGGAAUUACUGGGCGUAAAGCGUGCGCAGGCGGUUUGCUAAGACCGAUGUGAAAUCCCCGGGCUCAACCUGGGAACUGCAUUGGUGACUGGCAGGCUAGAGUAUGGCAGAGGGGGGUAGAAUUCCACGUGUAGCAGUGAAAUGCGUAGAGAUGUGGAGGAAUACCGAUGGCGAAGGCAGCCCCCUGGGCCAAUACUGACGCUCAUGCACGAAAGCGUGGGGAGCAAAACAGGAUUAGAUACCCUGGUAGUCCACGCCCUAAAACGAUGUCAACUAGUUGUUGGGGAUUCAUUUCCUUAGUAACGUAGCUAACGCGUGAAGUUGACCGCCUGGGGAGUACGAUCGCAAGAUUAAAACUCAAAUGAAUUGACGGGGUCAUAGCUGUUUCCU